rnacentral:rRNA from 1 species
UACGAAGGGGGCUAGCGUUGCUCGGAAUCACUGGGCGUAAAGGGUGCGUAGGUGGAUUUUUAAGUCAGGGGUGAAAUCCUGGAGCUCAACUCCAGAACUGCCUUUGAUACUGAAAGUCUUGAGUAUGGGAGAGGUGAGUGGAACUGCGAGUGUAGAGGUGAAAUUCGUAGAUAUUCGCAAGAACACCAGUGGCGAAGGCGGCUCACUGGCCCAUUACUGACGCUGAGGCACGAAAGCGUGGGGAGCAAACAGG